UUUCCGUAGGUGAACCUGCGGAAGGAUCAUUAAUGUGUUUGGGCCUCACGGCUCUCCAUUCCGACGCUGUGCGCCUUCGGGCUGCACGCUGAGGGAGCAUAUAUCCACCCCUGUGCACACACACGGUGGCGAGCUGGGUAACGGCUCGCCGCUGAUCUUUACACACGUCUAAAAGUCAUUGUAUGUUUAUUUGAGAUAAAAACACAACUUUCAGCAACGGAUCUCUUGGCUCUC
rnacentral:misc_RNA from 1 species